UUCCCCCUUUUCCUCCCUUCCGUCCACCUCAUCCCGACUUUCACCUCAAACAUUCCCACCGGGGAUAAGCUUCAGUUGCAACGAAAGAAAAAACACAGACGUCACUAUGUCGGGAUGUGAUCAGUCAGUCAGAAUAUUUGGGACACCUACGUGCAGUUUUACGCGCCAUCGUAAUUGGUCAAAAGGUGAAUAAUGUGAAUGUAAACAUUUUUUAUAUGAAGCAUGACUAAUAGUAAUAAUCAUAUAAUAGCGCAAUUCCAAUACAAUUCAACUAAUUUUUAAACAAUGAUGAUACGGUGUUCUUGUUAUUAGGGGUGUUUAGCACCACUUUUUGUUUCAGAGCAAUACUUGCACAAGUAUUCCCUCCUGACCACCCAAUUAUACGGUGUACUGAUUCUGUACCAUGAGUAUUUUUCAUUUUCAUUGAAUUUCAUUGAACAGCAUGAGAAAUAAUUGUGACCAGAGAGCUUUCUUUCUGAUGCAAAUGAUGAUUCGCCCAAUUGUAAAAUUACCAUAGUAUGGAGGAUACUAUCGGAUAAGAGUACUUGAUAUCAAUGGUUUUUUUUUUUUUUUUUCGUUUUAGGCAGGGAUGGCAUCAUAACAGAGCUAAGAAGGGCUACUACCCCGUCCGUCGGAGAUCUGUGUAGCUUAUAUAUCGGUCAAGCCUCCCUGUAGCCCCGGUAGACAAAAAAAUCCUGGAGUUAUCGCUGGCUGGUUUCGGCAGACUCCACAAGAUCCGAUAGAUUAAAAAUAAGGCUGCCCGAUACCGAUACCUGGUAUCAAUACUCGCCUAUCCCUACUUGUUGUAUUGUUAAAUUGCCCUUUUAAAAAAAUCUAAAAUGUGAAAAAUAAUUUGUGGUCAUAAUAGAUUGGUGGUUUACAUUGGAAUGGGAGAAGCUAGCUGUUAUGUCCUGUGUAUUGUUAAUAUUAAACCCAAGGUGCUAAUUACAAGCUGACUAAUUGAAAGCCCAUGAGCAAACUGCGUGGGAAUUAAAUUAAAAUGGACAAAACAUUUAAAUCUUGCCUUAUUGGGAACUUUGCGGCCCUAAACGUCUUACCCUAGAAUUGCCCUUGGUACGUCAAGUACCUAAAAUGACCACUCCCUCCCCCUGCAAUAAAAAUGAAGUAUCGCAUUCUAAGGAACUGCAGAUGGGCACUGACGGCAUACAAAUGACAGUGUGCUCAUGAUGAAAUUCCUUCAGCAGUUCCUGGACGGUGACUUGGAUCCCGGAGCGGGAACGCCAAGCGGGAACAAGAGAGUCCCUUCUGGAGGGCGGGGUCAGCCAAAGGUCUUCGUGCAUUGAGGCCCAUCGCAGUACCCGGAAUACCACGUGACUCACGAGGCACAAGCCAGCAUUAACUUGUUCGUCAAACAUUUCACAGAGAGAAAAAAAAUUGGAGAGCCCUCAUAUAUGCUUUCUCACCAAAUGAGACUUGGGAAACCAACAGGACGAAAGUUAUGAGCGACAGACAGACGGACGGGCGGACACACAGAUGGGUUUCUGGGGGAUCCGUGAGGGCAAUCAAGCGAGGUAUGGUCUGGCUUCUUGGCAGAUGGCCGCAAGGCCUCCACUGAGUUCAGCUUGAUUGGACGGAAGAGUUUGUUUGAAGAGACCAUCGGUGCCUUGUUACAUUGCCACAAGCCAUGGCUGCAUUUGAGUGAUCUGUGUUUGUGUGUGUGCCCGUGUAUACAUGUGUGUCUGUGGACCUGCCAAAAGCAGAGAAAAGAAGAAGAGGAGGAGGACCAAGUGAUUUGAGGAGCCCCCUCCCUCACAUAUUUUCGAAAGCCAGGAUCGCAAACGCUGGCAUUCACCGCAAUAAUGCAUGACAGAUGUACAUCAACAUGCUCUCUCUCUCUCUCUCUCUCUCUCUCUCUCUCUC